CGGGGUGGAGUAAUGUCUGGGAAACUGCCUGAUGGAGGGGGGUAACUACUGGAAACGGUAGCUAAUACCGCAUAACGUCGCAAGACCAAAGAGGGGGACCUCGGGCCUCUUGCCAUCGGAUGUGCCCAGAUGGGAUUAGCUAGUAGGUGGGGUAACGGCUCACCUAGGCGACGAUCCCUAGCUGGUCUGAGAGGAUGACCAGCCACACUGGAACUGAGACACGGUCCAG
rnacentral:rRNA from 1 species